AACGAACGCUGGCGGCAGGCCUAACACAUGCAAGUCGAGCGAGGACUUCGGUCCUAGCGGCGGACGGGUGAGUAACGCGUGGGAACGUGCCCUUUGCUUCGGAAUAGCCCUGGGAAACUGGGAGUAAUACCGGAUGAGCCCUUUGGGGGAAAGAUUUAUCGGCGAAGGAUCGGCCCGCGUUGGAUUAGGUAGUUGGUGGGGUAAUGGCCUACCGAGCCGACGAUCCAUAGCUGGUUUGAGAGGAUGAUCAGCCACACUGGGACUGAGACACGGCCCAGACUCCUACGGGAGGCAGCAGUGGGGAAUCUUAGACAAUGGGGGAAACCCUGAUCUAGCCAUGCCGCGUGAGCGAUGAAGGCCUUAGGGUUGUAAAGCUCUUUCAGCUGGGAAGAUAAUGACGGUACCAGCAGAAGAAGCCCCGGCUAACUCCGUG
rnacentral:rRNA from 1 species